rnacentral:tRNA from 1 species
AGGGACUUAGGAUAAUAUUAAACCAAGGGCCUUCAAAGCCCAAAACAGAGGUGAAAACCCCCUAGCCCCUG